rnacentral:rRNA from 1 species
GUGGGGAAUAUUGGACAAUGGGCGAAAGCCUGAUCCAGCCAUGCCGCGUGUGUGAAGAAGGUCUUCGGAUUGUAAAGCACUUUAAGUUGGGAGGAAGGGCAGUAAGCUAAUACCUUGCUGUUUUGACGUUACCGACAGAAUAAGCACCGGCUAACUCUGUGCCAGCAGCCGCGGUAAUACAGAGGGUGCAAGCGUUAAUCGGAAUUACUGGGCGUAAAGCGCGCGUAGGUGGUUCGUUAAGUUGGAUGUGAAAGCCCCGGGCUCAACCUGGGAACUGCAUCCAAAACUGGCGAGCUAGAGUACGGUAGAGGGUGGUGGAAUUUCCUGUGUAGCGGUGAAAUGCGUAGAUAUAGGAAGGAACACCAGUGGCGAAGGCGACCACCUGGACUGAUACUGACACUGAGGUGCGAAAGCGUGGGGAGCAAACAGGAUUAGAAACCCUUGUAGUCC